rnacentral:rRNA from 1 species
AACGAACGCUGGCGGCAUGCCUAACACAUGCAAGUCGAACGAUACCUUCGGGUCUAGUGGCGCACGGGUGGGUAACGCGUGGGAACCUGCCCUUAGGUUCGGAAUAACUCCCCGAAAGGGGUGCUAAUACCGGAUAAUCUCUUCGGACCAAAGAUUUAUCGCCUUUGGAUGGGCCCGCGUUGGAUUAGCUAGUUGGUAGGGUAAAAGCCUACCAAGGCGACGAUCCAUAGCUGGUCUGAGAGGAUGAUCAGCCACACUGGGACUGAGACACGGACCAGACUCCUACGGGAGGCAGCAGUGGGGAAUAUUGGACAAUGGGCGAAAGCCUGAUCCAGCAAUGCCGCGUGAGUGAUGAAGGCCUUAGGGUUGUAAAGCUCUUUUACCCGGGAUGAUAAUGACAGUACCGGGAGAAUAAGCUCCGGCUAACUCCGUG